rnacentral:lncRNA from 1 species
GUGCUUCGGGGUGAAAGUCCGGGUGGUAUGAGGAUGACGAUCCGGAUCGUGUCGGACACUCUUUUUAUCAAAUUUCAUUUAUUUCUAUCCCAUCCAUCUGACACUCUUUUUUUUUCAUUCAGUCUCAUUAAUUUUAAAUUUUUUUCCUACAUAUAACACCUUUUUCUUUUCAUUCAAUCUCAUUUAUUUCAAAUUUUUUUUCCUACAUCUAACACAUUUUUUUUUCAUUCAAUCCCAUUUAUUUCAGAAUUUUUUUCUACAUCUAACACCUUUUUU